GCCUGCCUCACUUUAGCAUCCAGAUGAGAGGGAGAGGAGGCCACCGCGGUUGACCUUCAUGCUCCAGGCUGCCUACCUCCAAUCACGUGCAUGGGAGAAGUCGUCGGUGCACGCCACCCGCGUACGAGGAUUUGUAGUGUGGAAUAGUUGAUCGGAGUAUGGGAGAUCUCUCAUCGGAGCUCCAUCAUCGCCGCCGAGUUGCCCUUCUCGUGGUCUGCACGGCCAUGACCUUAAUUGCUGGUGAGAUAAUGGCCCUGAUAUUUGUUGUCUUCCUUACUUCGAGUAGCGUCUGUUAGAUUUGGAUUUAGGUGACCGGGUCACAUAAUUCAUGUUCUCCGGUGAGGUGCCCAUCGCUCCUGCUUGGGCAUCGCCACGGAGGAAACCAGCGCCGCCUGUCGGGUAGCAGAGAGGAGGAAGAAGGAAUGGCAGCAGUUGUCGAUCAGUGGAAGCAUGGUCAGGAUUAAAAGUAGCGUACUCAAUUUGUGUUUUAAAUCUCAACAGUUGAUCGAUAAUCCGAGGGUCGGGAUUGAUCGGGGUCGUGUUGGCUUUCGAUCCAUUGAUUUCCUAUCCUAUGGCCAACAUGGGUAUACCGGUUCAUAAUCUCGUGGAUCUAAUCUGGGCUGUUUGGAUUAGAUCGGGCGGCUCAAGGUGCUCGAUACCCCUUCGUACCGAGAUAAGUGCAAAAAAAACCCUCGAUGAAGUAUAAAAUAAACCUAUCGCCCCUCCUGUAAUAAUAUCUUACACCUAGGUCCCUGGUUUUUAUAAAACCAUCCCUCAAAGUUAUUUUCAGUAUGAAAGAUUAAUAAUAAAUCACCCCAAAACUUAUUUGGUUCAUAACUUUUUCAUUUUAUAUCCGUUCUGAUUUGUUCCCGUCGCGUUAGCUUCAUAACGAUAUUGCCUACACGUUAACUACCCUAUUUUUUUUAUGUAACAAUAAUUAUCUAAUUUAUUUAAUCUAUAUGGGGUUAGAGGUUCUAAUGCGGGCAAUAUGAUAUUCUGAUCCUGUAAUUAGAAUCUGACUAAAAUAUAGUAUCUAAUCAAGUAAUAAUUUAGACUAAAGUUGAAUUAACUAUUACUUUAUAUUAUCUUUCUCACAUGAUUUAUAAAAUCAAUCUAAUAUCUAGUAUUAAUUGUUUAAUCACAUAGAUCUUGCGAAAACCAUAUCUCCUCAAUUGUGACUCUGAUUUUAGUGGUUCUCGGACCUGUGAUCUCAUAGCAGCGCGUAGAAUAUUCUUACGUUGUUUGUUCAUAUGCUUUGGUAAUGUUACCAUAUCCAUUAUUUGCUUCAAUGUAUGUAUUGCUACGAAUAGAGGCGAGGUGACGAGGACCUUGAAGCCCCAGUUUUAGGUCAACAUCUGAACAACAGAGUUAUCACAAGUAUAAGGCAAGUUGUGCCCUUGAUCAGUCUUCUUUACCUAAUAAUGUUCCUGUUAAUCACUAUGACAUGCUCAGGCUAAUUUGAUGGGACCUAAUAGGUUACCCUAGUUUUGUUCACUCUACACCUUGCAAACCAAUGAACUAUUGGGUAGACUUGCUAUUUCUCUACCUGGUUUUGGGAUUAAUGUUAGACUGAACUAUGAUCAUGUUCCACUAUUAUUGUUGGUUUAAUUAUUGGUCACGAUAAUACCAUUGUGUUAAUUGAAACAUGGAGCUUAAUUUGAGAUAGCAGUGCUACCACAAGGGUGGAAUGGGACACCCUUGGCUGAAUAAUUAGGAAAGCUAGUGUGAGUUAAUCCAUUCCCGUAAGGGGCAAGGAGGGUGGAGGAGUGGAGGUGUAGGGAGGUCCUCGGGUCGGACUGUCUUUUUAGCUUUCCGGACGAGGGAUUCCUAUAUCGCCUUCGUUCCGGAAUCUGUAGCGGGUUCUCUCCUCUAGUGGAACUUUGUAAAGGCCUUGCAGUGGAUCCCUAGCCAUUCACCUUGCAAACCUUGGCUAAACGGGAAACACGUCUUGUGGGUAAAGAUGUGCAACCUGUGUAGAGUGUAAAACUGGUAUACCAGUCGUGCUCACGGUCAAAAGCGACUCAGGACUCUUGCAUGAUUAAUUUAUGGAAUUAAACUUAAUCUGUCAUUUGCAUUGCAUUGUGGAUUUUAUUAUUAAGUGUGAUCAAUUAUUUAAUUGGGAUGGUAUCUACUUAUAUUUAGUAACCGUUAAUAAAAUUUUGACCAACUUUAAAAAGCAAUGCUCAGCUUGAACCAUCUCCUUUGAUAAGCCUUACACUUCACAUGAGCCCCCACCAUAAGUGAGCUCAUGCACAUUAUUCCCCACAACUUCUUGAGCGAUGAACGUAUGUGAGCUCACCCUUGUUGUACUCACACCCCAGGUCAAGGACAGGUACCGCAAGUAAAGGAGCAUGGAUAAUGUCGUGAUGAGUUCGUGAGAGGUCUAGGUCGUCGUCUCCGAGUCAACUAUGGUUGCUAGAUUGUUGUCUUCUUAUGAUGUAAUUAUUUAGCUAUUUUGUACAUAACUCCUACUAUAUAGUAAAGAUGUGACAUUCGUUUCUGUACCAUGAGUCAUCAUAUGUGUGAGACUUGAUCCUAUCACACAUUUGAUUCGCGUCCGGGUUCGCCCUUAAAUCCGGGUGUCAGAAGUGGUAUUAGAGCAAUGUUGAUUGUAGGAUGUAACCUAGAUAGACCUGGGCAAACCUCUACAUACUUUCCUAUGCUGCUCUGUUUCUUUCUAAAACUUUCCUUAAUCUUCUCUCAUUUAUUACUGCUUUUCUCUAACUACUCUUACCUUUUCUUGCUUUAAACCAAAAGGGGAUUUCACACCUUGGAAUCCUAUACCCAAAUUGUCCCUAAGGAAUAGGAGUCCUAACACUUGGAAAAAACUAUUUUUGUAGGUAUCUAUACACUUGAAUGCUUGUUCUUAUGAUACAUUUUUGAUUUGAUUCUUUGAUUGAGUGUGAUAAAUUGUGGAGUAAUGUCCGCAAUUGCAUUUGUAUAGACAAUUAGGCCUAAAAAAUAUAUUUUCAAGAUAACUAUCAAUUUAGAUUAUCCCCUAUUAGAGCAUAUCUAGCUUAAUAGAUCCAUCUCAUCCUAAAAUAUUCUAUUCUAAAUAGAUUCAUCUCACCUUCAAAGAUUCUAUAUUAUCCUUAUAAAUUCAUCUUGUCCAAAUAAGCAUACCUACCCCCCCCGAGAGUAACAACCAUGAUUGAGUCCCAAUUAAUUAUAUCUAAUUUAAUCUAAUCCAAUGUCAUCUAAGGUGACAUAAUAUGAUUAAACUGAUCUAGGCUAGGUUAAUCUAAUCUGAAACCCUUAUCCUAUUUUUCCAUCUUUCUUGCCUAUAUUCAAAGGUUAGAACCAAUUAACUUAGAUUAGUUAAAGUUGGUAAGAUAGACUACACUCCUAUAAAACUGCCCUUACCUGAUGCACUUUGCCCCACAAUUAGUACACUAGACCAACUUGGCCAUAAUCCACGACCAGACCUACAUGUUGGAUGGCUUAAUCUAGCCAUCCCAACCUAACAUCAAACUAGGUUUUGACCUACCUCAUAUAAUCCAUCCUAACCAUCCUUAACACAAAUGGAGACAUCAAGACUAGAGGAGGCACAAAUCAACCCCGUCAAAGAAGGAUAAGAAUUACCCAAGACCUAGACAAGUUGGAGUCCCUCAUUUGGAUGGAAACUUUCCUAACCACUUAUUAGGCAAUAUGAUAUUUGGUUAGAAAACUUUUUAUUCUUGAACUAAGUAGAAACCAAAAGCUAAACUAUAAACAAGGCUUUAUGUAUCCCUUUUCUUACUAAUCUUGAGGACAAGAUUAUUUUAAGGGGGUAGAAUUUGUAACACUCCAAAAAUCUUGAUUUUGGGUUAAAUAAAUUUUUUUCCCAAAAAUAAAGAAAAUUGAAGUGUCAUCUGAUGGGGAAUUAAACCCUAAAAGUGACCCUUCCUAAAACAAUUAGGUGACAUUAAAAGUUUGAUAGUUUAAAACUUAGAUCCAAAAUUAGAAACUAAAAUUUAAGUUAAAGCAUCUUUUAAUAAAAGAAUUAUUAUUUUUAAAAUAAUUAUUUUGUGUGUAUGUAUCUAAUGUUUAAAAACAUUUAUUUUUAAAAAUAAUAAACAGAUAAAAUAUUAUUGCACCUCAUGCUAGAAUUUUGGAUGUGCAUUUAAACUUAAAUUUGAUCUCCAAGAUUCGAUUUGAAUUUGAAUAUUCAAAUAGGAUGGGAAAUAGAAAUCAGAAUUGGAAAAAAAAAGGAAAACAAAAAGGGGCAAACCUACUCGUGGGCCAAGUUUCUCAGUCGGCCCACUUACCCGUUUUCACCGCUGGCCCAACUCAACUUAAGCGCCGACAGGUGGGGCCCUUUUGCAGCAUCACAGCACGCACGUGGGGAGGAAACAUUCCCCCGCUGCCGAGUGGGCCCCGGCAUUAGACCUCGCAUCUGUAUGUUCUGCCCCUCGCGUUCACUACGUUCGGCGCGGGCAACAACCGAGGGUUGUUGAAAUCGUAGCAAACCCGACCGGAUCCCUCCCCAGUCGCCGAUGCCUGCCUCACUGCACGUGCACGGAGAGAAGUCGUCGGUUCACGCCGCCCAUGUACGAGGAUUUUUAGUGUGGAAUAGUUGGUCGGAGUACGGGAGAUCUCUCAUCGGAGCUCCUUCAUCGCUACCGAGUCGCCCUUCUCGUGGUCUACACGGCCACGACCUUAAUCGCUGGUGAGAUAAUGGCCCCGAUGUUCGUUGUCUUCCUUACUUCGAGUAGCGUCGGUUAGAUUUGGACUUUGAUGACCGGGUCACAGAGUUCAUGUUCUCCGGCGAGGUGCCCGUCACUCCUGCUUGGGCGCUGCCACGGAGGGCCAGUCGGGUUGCAGAGAGGAGGAAUAAGGAAUGGCAGCAGCUAUCGAUCAGUAGAUGCACGGUCAUGAUUAAAAGUAGCAUACCCCUUUCGCGUUUUAAAUCUCAACGGUUGAUCGGCAAUAGGAGGGUCAGGAUUGAUCGAGGUCGUGGUGGUUUUUGAUCCAUUGAUUUCCUAUCCUACGGCCAACAUGGGUAUACCGGUUCACAAUCUCGUGGAUCUAAUCCGAGCCAUUCGGAUUAGAUUGGGCGGCUCAGGGUGUCUGAUACCCCUUCGGACCAAGAUAAUGCAAAAUAACCCUCGGUGAAGUAUAAAAUAAAGUCGUCAUCCCCCUCUUGUGGUAAUCUCUUACACUUGGUCCCUGGUUUCUAUAAAACCAUCCCUCGAAGUUAUUUUCAGUAAAAAAUAUUAAUAAUAAAUCACCCCAAAACUUAUUCGGUUCAUAACUUCUUCGUUUUAUAUCCGAUUUGAUUCGUUCCAGUUGUGACAGCUUCAUAACGAUAUUGCCUACAUGUUAAGAACUCUAUUUUUUAUGUAAAAAUAGUUAUCUAAUUUAUUUAAUCUAUGUCUAUGGGAUUAGAGGUUCUAAUGUGGUUAACAUAAUAUUCUGAUCCUGUAAUUAGAAUCUGACUAAAAUUUAGUAUCUAAUCAAGUAAUAAUUUAGACUAAAGUUGAAUUAACUAUUACUUUAGAUUAUCUUUCUCACGUGAUUUAUAAAAUCAAUCUAACAUCUAGUAUUAAUUAUUUAAUCACGUAGAUCUUCCGAAAACCAUAUCUCCUCAACUGUGACUCCAAUUUUAGUGGUUCUCGGACCUGUGAUCUCAUAGCAGCGUGUAGAAUAUUCUUACGUUGUUUGUUCAUAUGCUUUUUUUGUAAUGUUACCAUAUCAUUUAUUUGCUUGAUUCUAUAUAUUGCUACGAAUAGAGGCGAGGUGACGAGGAACUUAAGCCCCACUUUUGGGUCAACAUCUGAAAAACAGGGUUAUCGCAAGUAUAAGGCAAGUUGUGCCCUUGAUCACUCUUUUUUACCUAAUAAUGUUCAUGUUAAUCACUAUGACAUACUCAGGUUAAUUUGAUGGGACCUAAUAGGUUACCCUAGUUUUGUUCACUCUACACCUUGCAAACCAAUGAACUAUUUGGUAGACUUGCUAUUGUUCUACCUGGUUUUGGGAUUAAUGUUAUACUGAACUAUGGUCAUAUUCCACUAUUAUUGUUGGUUUAAUUAUUGUUCAUGAUAAGACCAUUGUGUUAAUUGGAAUAUGGAGCUUAACUUGAGAUAACCGUGCUACCACAAGGGUGGAAUGGGACGCCCUUGGCUAAAUAAUUAGGAAAGCACGUGUGAGUUAAUCCUUUCCCGAAAGGGGCAAGCGGGGUGGAGGAGUGCAGGUGUAGGGAGGUCCUCAGGUUAGAUUAUUUUUUAGCUUUCCAGAUGAGGGAUUCCUAUAUCGCCUUCGGCCCGGAAUCCGUAGCAGGUUCUCUCCUAUAGUGGAACUUUGUAGGCCUCGCAGUGGAUCUCUAGCCAUUCACCUUGGAAGUGUCUAAGGGUCUUGCAAACCCUGGCUAAACGGUAAACACGUUUUGUGGGUAAAGAUACACAACCUCUGAAGAGUAUAAAACUGGUAGUUCAGUCGUGCUCACGGUCAAGAGUGACUCAGGACUCUCGUAUGAAUAAUUUAUGGAAUUGAACUUAAUAUAUCGUUUGCAUUACAUUGUGAGUUUUAUUAUUAAUUGUGAUCAAUUAUUUAAUUGGGAUGAUAUCUACUUAUACCUAAUAACUGCUAAUAAAAUUUUGACCAACUUUAAAAGUAAUGCUCAACUUUAACCAUCUUUUUUAGUAAGCCUUACACUUCACAUGAGCUCUCACCAUCAGUGAGCUCAUGCACAUUAUUCAUCACAAUUUGUUGAGCGAUGAACGUAUAUGAGCUCACCCUUGUUGUACUCACACCCCAGGUCAAGAUAGGUAUUGUAAGAUAAAGAGCAUGGAGGAUGCCGCAAUGAGUUCGUGAGAGGUCUAGUCCAUCAUCUUCAAGUCAAAUAUGGUUGCUGGAUCGUUG
rnacentral:lncRNA from 1 species